UACAGAGGGUGCAAGCGUUGUUCGGAAUUAUUGGGCGUAAAGCGCGUGUAGGCGGCCUUGCAAGUCGGGUGUGAAAGCCCUCGGCUCAACCGAGGAAGUGCGCCCGAAACUGCAGAGCUUGAGUACCGGAGAGGAUGGCGGAAUUCCCCAAGUAGAGGUGAAAUUCGUAGAUAUGGGGAGGAACACCGGUGGCGAAGGCGGCCAUCUGGACGGAUACUGACGCUGAGACGCGAAAGCUAGGGUAGCAAACGGG
rnacentral:rRNA from 1 species